CGGAAGCUGGGGUCUGGCCGGCUGUGGAUAGGGCUGGGGUUAGAAGGGAACCCCUGCGGAGACGGAGGGGUGGUGGCGGGGUAGCUGACUCCUCGUGCGACCGCCGGCCCUGCGCUUGCGCCCUGGCGCGGCCCGCGUGACAGGUCCUUUAAUGGAGUGGCCAGUAUAUCUGCAGACCUGGUUUCAUCUGAUGAUUUACAGACCCCAGCUCUGAAGCCAGUUACACAUUUUCCUGUGGCCGGGCACGGAGUAGUUGAUUAUCCUCACGAUGUUGGACUUUUUGGCUGAGAAUAACCUCUGUGGCCAAGCAAUCCUAAGAAUUGUUUCCUGUGGCAAUGCCAUCAUUGCUGAACUUCUGAGGCUCUCUGAGUUUAUUCCUGCUGUAUUCAGGUUAAAAGACCGAGCUGAUCAACAGAAAUAUGGAGAUAUCAUAUUUGAUUUCAGCUAUUUUAAGGGUCCAGAAUUAUGGGAAAGCAAACUGGAAGCUAAGCCAGAGCUACAGGAUUUAGAUGAAGAGUUUCGGGAAAACAACACAGAAAUUGUGACCAGAUUUUAUUUAGCAUUUCAAAGUGUGCAUAAAUAUAUUGUAGACUUAAACAGAUAUCUAGAUGAUCUCAAUGAAGGUGUUUAUAUUCAGCAAACCUUAGAAACGGUGCUUCUCAAUGAAGAUGGAAAACAACUUCUAUGUGAAGCACUGUACUUAUAUGGAGUUAUGCUCCUGGUCAUCGACCAAAAGAUUGAAGGAGAAAUCAGAGAGAGAAUGCUCGUUUCUUACUAUCGAUACAGUGCUGCUCGAUCUUCUGCUGAUUCGAAUAUGGAUGAUAUUUGUAAGCUGCUUCGAAGUACAGGUUAUUCCAGCCAACCAGGAGCCAAAAGACCACCCAACUAUCCUGAGAGUUACUUCCAGAGGGUGCCUAUCAACGAGACCUUCAUCAGCAUGGUCAUCGGUCGGCUAAGAUCUGAUGAUAUUUACAACCAGGUCUCAGCAUAUCCAUUGCCAGAACAUCGGAGCACAGCUCUGGCAAAUCAGGCCGCCAUGUUGUAUGUAAUUCUCUACUUUGAGCCUUCCAUUCUUCAUACCCAUCAAGCAAAAAUGAGAGAGAUAGUGGAUAAAUACUUUCCAGAUAAUUGGGUAAUUAGUAUUUACAUGGGGAUCACAGUUAAUCUAGCAGAUGCUUGGGAACCCUACAAAGCUGCAAAAACUGCUUUAAACAAUACCCUGGACCUUUCAAACGUCAGAGAACAGGCAAGCAGAUACGCUACUGUCAGCGAAAGGGCGCACGCACAAGCGCAGCAGUUCCUGAAAGAAGGUUGUUUGAGGGAGGAUCUGGUUCUGGAUAACAUCCCAAGGCUUCUGAACUGCCUGAGAGACUGCAAUGUCACCAUUCGAUGGCUGAUGCUUCAUACUGCAGACUCAGCCUGUGACCCAAACAACAAACGCCUUCGUCAAAUCAAGGACCAGAUUCUAACAGACUCUAGGUACAAUCCCAAGAUCCUCUUUCAAUUGCUGUUGGAUACUGCACAAUUUGAGUUUAUACUCAAAGAGAUGUUCAAGCAAAUGCUUUCAGAAAAGCAGGCCAAAUGGGAACAUUACAAGAAGGAGGGCUCAGAGCGGAUGACGGAGCUUGCUGAUGUCUUUUCAGGAGUGAAACCCCUAACCAGAGUGGAGAAAAAUGAAAAUCUUCAAGCUUGGUUCAGAGAGAUCUCAAAACAAAUAUUGUCUUUAAAUUAUGAUGAUUCUACUGCUGCGGGCAGAAAAACUGUGCAACUAAUACAGGCUUUGGAAGAGGUUCAAGAAUUUCACCAGUUGGAAUCAAAUCUGCAAGUGUGUCAAUUUCUUGCUGAUACUCGCAAGUUUCUCCACCAAAUGAUCCGAACCAUUAACAUUAAAGAGGAGGUCCUGAUCACAAUGCAGAUCGUUGGGGACCUUUCUUUUGCUUGGCAGUUAAUUGACAGUUUCACAUCUAUCAUGCAAGAGAGCAUAAGGGUAAACCCAUCCAUGGUCACUAAACUCAGAGCUACAUUCCUAAAGCUUGCCUCUGCCCUUGACCUGCCCCUUCUUCGUAUUAAUCAAGCAAAUAGCCCUGACCUUCUCAGUGUAUCUCAAUAUUAUUCUGGCGAAUUGGUGUCCUAUGUGAGAAAGGUUUUGCAGAUCAUUCCGGAAAGCAUGUUUACUUCCCUUCUAAAGAUCAUAAAGCUUCAGACCCACGAUAUCAUUGAAGUGCCGACCCGGCUGGACAAGGACAAGCUGAGGGACUAUGCCCAGCUUGGCCCACGAUAUGAGGUUGCCAAGCUUACUCAUGCUAUUUCCAUUUUUACUGAAGGCAUCUUAAUGAUGAAAACAACUUUGGUCGGCAUCAUCAAGGUGGACCCAAAACAACUGCUGGAGGAUGGAAUAAGGAAGGAGCUGGUUAAGCGUGUGGCUUUUGCUCUUCAUAGGGGAUUGAUCUUCAACCCUCGAGCCAAGCCAAGUGAAUUGAUGCCAAAGCUGAAAGAGCUGGGAGCUACCAUGGAUGGGUUCCAUCGUUCUUUUGAAUACAUUCAGGACUAUGUCAACAUUUACGGUCUGAAGAUUUGGCAGGAAGAAGUAUCUCGUAUUAUAAAUUACAAUGUGGAACAAGAGUGUAAUAACUUCUUAAGAACAAAGAUUCAAGACUGGCAAAGUAUGUACCAGUCCACACAUAUUCCAAUACCAAAGUUUACCCCUGUGGAUGAGUCCGUAACAUUUAUUGGUAGACUCUGCAGAGAAAUCUUGCGGAUCACGGACCCAAAAAUGACAUGCCACAUUGACCAGCUGAAUACUUGGUAUGAUAUGAAAACCCAUCAAGAGGUGACCAGCAGCCGCCUCUUCUCAGAGAUCCAGAACACCUUGGGGACUUUCGGUCUGAAUGGGUUAGACAGGCUUCUGUGCUUUAUGAUUGUCAAAGAGUUACAGAAUUUCCUCAGCAUGUUUCAGAAAAUUAUCUUGCGAGACAGAACUGUGCAGGAUACUUUAAAAACCCUCAUGAAUGCCAUCAGCCCCCUAAAAAGCAUUGUAGCAAAUUCGAAUAAAAUUUAUUUUUCUGCCAUUGCCAAAACACAGAAGAUAUGGACCGCUUAUCUGGAAGCUAUCAUGAAGGUUGGGCAGAUGCAGAUUCUGAGACAACAGAUUGCCAAUGAAUUAAAUUAUUCUUGUCGGUUUGACUCCAAACAUCUGGCAGCUGCUUUGGAGAAUCUCAAUAAGGCUCUCCUAGCAGAUAUUGAAGCCCACUACCAGGACCCUUCACUUCCUUACCCCAAAGAAGAUAACACACUCUUAUAUGAAAUCACAGCCUACCUGGAGGCAGCUGGCAUCCACAACCCACUGAACAAGAUAUACAUAACAACAAAACGCUUACCCUACUUCCCGGUUGUCAACUUUCUAUUCUUGAUCGCCCAGUUGCCAAAACUUCAGUACAGCAAAAACCUAGGCAUGGUCUGCCGAAAACCUGCCGACCCUGUGGAUUGGCCGCCACUCGUGCUGGGACUGCUCACCCUGCUGAAGCAGUUUCAUUCCCGGUACACAGAACAGUUCCUGGCAUUGAUCGGCCAGUUUAUCCGCUCCACAGUGGAGCAGUGUACAAGCCAGAAGAUACCAGAAAUGCCUGCAGAUGUUGUGGGUGCCCUUCUGUUUCUGGAGGAUUACGUUCGGUACACAAAGCUACCCAGGAGGUGUGCUCUUCUAGAUCAAUAAGAAAAAGAUAACCAAUCCAACCGAAAAAAAAAAAAUGGGAGUUUUCAGGAAACAGGCAGUUUUCAGGAAAAGAAAUACAAGUGGCCAGUAAACACUUGUGAAGAUGUUCAACCUUACAUUAAAGGAACAUGAAUCAAAAUAACAGUAAAAUGGGUUGCUGAAGCACACGUGCCUAAUUUCAUUUUUGAUGAGUUCAGAACAGUCCUGUGACGUUUUUUGACUUCUGCGUCUUCAGUGGAAGGAUUAUCCUUAAAUCUUCCCACCGUCACUAAAAUGAACUUGGAAAUGAAAAGAAACCCAACUGCUCAAAGAACUGCAUUUUUUCCCUUUAUUGUGGGAAACGUCAGACGUUCUGAGUAAGAUGUAUUUCACGGAACUAAUUAAUUAAUAUUGUUUAAAUCAUGGUAUUAUAUACAAUUUAUAUCAUGUAGAAGCAGAACACAUUUUGUACUGCCUCUUAUAAAUGCUGAGUGUAAUUGUUGUGUAUAAAUCCAUUUAGUUUUAUGUUCUAGAGAACUAUUUGUGCAACUCCAGAUUUUCAGUAAAAAUAGUACUGCCAGUACCCAAAGUCAUCCUUCUGCCUAUGAUUCAAAAACCACAUAUUCACCCUGCAAAAAACCUUGUCUGGAAGGUAAGAGAGGAGCCUGGUAGGUCCAGUGUUGUGUCCAUGGUCACAUCCACGACAGGCUGGCAGGCACAUGGUGACCAGAGGGACUAGUAGCAGAUGCAGAGACUAUGCAAUCCGUGGACCACGUACCAUGGAAGUUUGUUCAUGUCUGAGGCUCAGUGUCCUCUUCCAAUCCAGAUACCUUGGGGGUUCCCUGCAGCCCUUCUGUAGGACUCCCCAACUUCAGCUGCUCCUUCCUCAGCAAGCCCUGAGCCCCACCCCAAGUCCCCACUCCCUUUUUUUUUUUAUAACAGCUUAGCCAUUAGCUUUUAACUCCUCCAAAAUCCUAAAUCACUUCUGAAUGAAAAUUACCCUGAAAGAGGAGCUGCCAUCCUCUUGUGGCGAUUUGGGUAAGAGUAAGAAAGGUGUUUUAACUCUGACUGUAUAGCUAUGUCCUCUGGAGAGGAGAGGUACAAGCAAAAGAAACAAACAAAAAACACCCAGUAUCUGAAAUGUGCUUGACAGUCAGUUAGCAAAUAGUAAGAAAAGCAGCAUUAAUUUGUAGUCAGGAGGCAAAACUUGAGUCCUGAUUCUGCCACUAGUUAAACUUUGUCCCAAGGUAGCCUACUGGCAUCAUCUAUAAAAUCAGGGCUAAUGAUUUCUCUGGUUCCCUUCAGUUUUCUGAUUUUGUGAUAAGUUAUUUCUUUUGUCAGAAGGUCUCAAAUCCUAAGAUACUGGAAGAGAAAAAAAAAUGACUUUAUAUGCUUCAUUUCACCAUCAUUGUAGAAAGGAUUUUAAAAAGCAUCUAGUCAGCAGAGGGAAGCAGAAGGCUUAUCAGCCCAGCUUGGUGGAAACCCAGGGAGGAAUUUUAAAAGUGAACUGAAAGUUGCCUGGCAUGUAAGGAGUUUGGGAGUCUCACCCACCGAAGCUGACACGUGAACUCAGCCGGUAAGUCUGUGGCCAUCGUACGUCCACUUCUCAAAAACUAUCUUGCUGUUUCUCAUUUGUAAUCAGAUGCACUGCAGUAACUGCAUGAAAUGAGAGCUUUAGUUCUCUGUGAAAAUGUUCCCCGCAUAGAAAGCCAGCAGCUAAUAAAAAGGUGAGAUCUAAGAAAGUGUAUUUUUAA